UUUGCCUCCCGAAUAGCUAAAAGACGAUUCUUUAUACUACGUCGUUUAGCUCAGACAGAGGCGCAUAGCAUUACCAUUUUCGAAGCGGUUUGAGGGUGAGGAACUCAAUUUUUUUUUUUCCCAGCUAUUCCUUUCCUAGAUGGCUUCGAACAUUU